CCUGUCCAGUGCGUUGACUUAAACUACUCAGGUAAUGGCUUCUAUCAUGCAGUUAGUUCUUCUCUAUUUAGAGCCAGACGUUUUCGUCUUGUCUUAUAUUAUUAAGGAGUCAAGGACUACCACCAUCUCUCUUCUGCUUCCUUGGGUUUCCACUUCCAUUGCUGUCCUUGAUACUGUUGCUGAUGUGCUAUUUGGGAAGACCAGGCAUUUAUACCCCAAACAGGUCAUAAGGGGACCACUGCCUUCUGAAUGAAUAUGAGUAUCUUCAUGGAAAAAAUAUCUUGAGAGGAAAAAAAGGUUACUGAAUUUAUUAUUUUUUAAAAUUUUUCUGAAGUUUAUUUACUUUUUUUUUUUUUUUGAGAGAGAGAGAGAGAGAGAGAGAGAGAGAAUGAGAGAGUGCAGGCAGGAAAGGGGCAGAGAGAGAGGGAGAGAGAGAGAGAAUCCCAAGCAGGCUCCGCACUGCCAGUGCAGAGCCUGAUGUGGGGCUUGAACCCACGAACCGGGAGAUCAUGACCUGAGCCAGAAUCAAGAGUCAGACGCUUAACUGACUGAACCACCCAGGUGCCCCCAAACCACUGAAUUUAUAUUAGAAAAUCCAGUGGAAGUGAUCAGGACAGCAAAGUGGAAUCACGGUCCUUAGGAGCAAGAGGGAAUUAGAGAUAGUAUAG
rnacentral:lncRNA from 1 species